rnacentral:rRNA from 1 species
CCUACGGGAUGCAGCAGUGAGGAAUUUUCGGCAAUGGGGGCAACCCUGACCGAGCAACGCCGCGUGCAGGAAGACGCUUUUCGGAGUGUAAACUGCUUUUCCCAGGGACGACACAGGACGGUACCUGGGAAUAAGCCCCGGCUAACUACGUGCCAGCAGCCGCGGUAAUACGUAGGGGACGAGCGUUGUCCGGAGUUACUGGGCGUAAAGGGCCCGCAGGCGGUCUGCCGCGUUUGUGCUGACAGCUCCUGGCUUAACUGGGAGAGCGGUGCGAAGACGGGCGGACUGAGAGGACCAGAGAGGGACAUGGAACUCCGGGUGUAGUGGUGAAGUGCGUAGAUAUCCGGAAGAACACCAAAGGCGAAGGCAGUGUCCUGGUUGGUACCUGACGCUGAGGGGCGAAAGCUAGGGGAGCGAACGGGAUUAGAUACCCUCGUAGUC